AUACGUGCCAGCAGCCGCGGUAAUACGUAUGGUGCAAGCGUUAUCCGGAUUUACUGGGUGUAAAGGGAGCGUAGACGGAUGGACAAGUCUGAUGUGAAAGGCGGGGGCCCAACCCCCGGACUGCAUUGGAAACUGCCCGUCUUGAGUGCCGGAGAGGUAAGCGGAAUUCCUAGUGUAGCGGUGAAAUGCGUAGAUAUUAGGAGGAACACCAGUGGCGAAGGCGGCUUACUGGACGGUAACUGACGUUGAGGCUCGAAAGCGUGGGGAGCA
rnacentral:rRNA from 1 species